GUGUCCUGCUCCUUGACCACGAUGGGGGCUUCUGGCUGGUCCACAGUGUACCUAACUUCCCGCCACCGGCCUCCUCUGCUGCAUACAGCUGGCCUCAUAGCGCCUGUACCUACGGGCAGACCCUGCUCUGUGUGUCUUUUCCCUUCGCUCAGUUCUCGAAGAUUGGCAAGCAGCUGACCUACACCUACCCCUGGGUCUAUAACUACCAGCUGGAAGGGAUCUUUGCCCAGGAAUUCCCCGACUUGGAGAAUGUGGUCAAGGGCCACCAUGUUAGCCAAGAACCCUGGAACAGCAGCAUCACACUCACAUCCCAGGCCGGGGCUCUUUUCCAGAGCUUUGCCAAGUUCAGCAAAUUUGGAGAUGGUGAGUCUCAAGGUUGAGGGUUGGAGAUCUCCUUCUCUGCAGACAGGGUGACUGGUGUGGCCAUGGCUGAGUUCGAGUCAGCGGUAGAGACCAGGUCUGUUUGGGAGCUAUAAUCACAUGAUCAGUGAACAGACCUGGGUUCAAAACCUGGGUUCUUGCUGUGUGAUGUAUAAUUUCACCUGAGCCUUGGUCUACUCAUCUGAAAAAUGGGGAUACUGACAUCUACUUAAAAAAUUGUGAAUGAAGUGGUGCCUGUAAGUCAUUUGGGUGCCAGAGGUGGUGCCUCACUCCUGUAAUCCCAGUUACUUAGGAGGCUGAGGCAGGAGGAUCAUUUGAAGACAGGCA
rnacentral:sRNA from 1 species